GUCAUUAUGUGAUUAAUUGUGUUUUUGUGUGAUUAAGAGUAUUUUAGUCAUUAAUAGAUUAUUAACUAGAUUGCGGAGAGUUAAAUUAAUUAUAAGAGAGAUAAUUAGUUAAUUAUGAGAAUUAAUAGACUUUAGAUGUUUUUGGGCAUAGAAUUUAAAAUAAACAUGUUAUGAGUAGAAUAGAGGAGAAAAUAGUAAUUGUGUAGAAAAAUUAGGUUAGAAAGAAUAGAGUAGUAUGAGAGUUGGUCACAAAAAACCAAAAAUAGAGAAAAGGGAGGUAGAAAGAGAAAGUAGAAGAAAAAUAAUGUUUUAGAGAGAAGUUGGAGAAAAGCUUGAGAGAAGAGGAAGAACUUGAGGAAUUGAAGAAGAAGGACUAAAGGUUUNNN
rnacentral:lncRNA from 1 species